rnacentral:rRNA from 1 species
AAAAGUAACUCUCAGUUCAGAUUGUGGGCUGCAACCCGCCCACAUGAAGUUGGAGUUGCUAGUAAUCGCGGAUCAGCAUGCCGCGGUGAAUACGUUCCCGGGCCUUGUACACACCGCCCGUCACACCAUGAGAGUCGGGAACACCCGAAGUCCGUAGUCUAACCGCAAGGGGACGCGGCCGAAGGUGGGUUCGAUAAUUGGGGUGAAGUCGUAACAAGGUACC